rnacentral:rRNA from 1 species
AUUGAACGCUGGCGGCAGGCCUAACACAUGCAAGUCGAACGGCAGCGGGGGAUAGCUUGCUAUCCUGCCGGCGAGUGGCGGACGGGUGAGUAAUGCAUGGGGAGCUGCCCAGUCGAGGGGGAUAACAACUGGAAACGGUUGCCAAUACCGCAUACGCCCUAAGGGGGAAAGGUGGGGAACUUCGGUCCUACCGCGAUUGGAUGCGCCCAUGUGGGAUUAGCUAGUUGGUGAGGUAACGGCUCACCAAGGCGACGAUCUCUAGCUGGUCUGAGGGACGGACCGGCCAAACUGGAACUGGGACACGGGCCAGACUCCUACGGGAGGUAGCAGUGGGGAAUAUUGCACAAUGGGAGAAACCCUGAUGCAGCCAUGCAGCGUGUGUGAAGAAGGCCUUCGGGUUGUAAAGCACUUUCAGUCAGGAGGAAGGGGUGAUGGCUAAUAUCCAUCAUCAUUGACGUUACUGACAGAAGAAGCACCGGCUAACUCCGUGCCAGCCGCCGCUGUAA